rnacentral:misc_RNA from 1 species
CCGAGUGAGGGCCCUCUGGGUCCAACCUCCCACCCGUGUUUAUUGUACCUUGUUGCUUCGGCGGGCCCGCCUCACGGCCGCCGGGGGGCAUCUGCCCCCGGGCCCGCGCCCGUCGAAGACAUCAUUGAACUCUGUCUGAAGAUUGCAGUCUGAGCAUCUUAGCUAAAUCAGUUA